rnacentral:lncRNA from 1 species
AACUGUGCUUUUUCUGCUCUGCAGGAAAGAUGCAACCUGGGCCAGAGGCCCCUGGAGGUUGUGCCUGAACCCAGACAGAUCACACAAACCUGAGCAGCCAUUAGCCGCUGUGUGGGCUCCUUUGCACUGUGGGGCUGCUCCUGGGGAUAUUUACGUUGUGAACUGGUAAAAUCUGAACUGCAGAAUAUCAAUUUCCAGACAUUCUUCCUAGAUGAUGCCGUCUGCCACGGAGACCAUGUAGAUGGAUUGAAUGGGGAUAUGAUGAGGAUGACCACCCCUGCAUUUGCUAAGUUCUUGGGAGUGGCAUCGAUCUCAGCCAUUCCACUGGAAUAGGGUCAGGAAACAAAACGUGAGGGCUCUACCAGCUGCUCAGUCUAUCCUUUCCAAUUGAGCACACUGGAACUGAGGAAGCAAAGACAGGAUAAUGGACCUUAACUAGUGGGCUGAAGGCAAUGAGGGGAUGUGAGGAUGCAUCUUGUGAAGGACAAAAGUCAUCCUGUAAGGAUUCAUGAGACCUGAGCAGCCAGCCAGCCCUGAAAUGGUUGGAACAGGAGAAAGAAGAAGAGCUCGACAGAUACCCUGCCUGGGCUGGCAGCUAGCUGCACCACAAGCUGGCCAGCUGACAGCGGGCACAUCCCUUCAUCACCCAGUGCCUUUCUUCCCUCUUGUGAAAAUGGAGAUAUGCUGAGAAGGUUACUUCAGCUCAUCCAGAGAAAGCUUCUUCAGCUAACUAGGCUGUAGAAAGGGCCUACAGCCUAAAUUUUCAAAAACAAGUUAAUGCCAGAAUAUAAACUCCGUGAAGUAACAGAUUGUGUCGGUUUCAUUCCUGCAUGUAUCCCUGGUGCCUAGACAGUGUCUGGCACACAGUAGGUGCUCAACAUUGACUGAAUGUGAGGGAAAAACCUAUGUAGUUCAAUACUAUGUAGACAAGAUCAUAAAUGAUCACUAUUUAAAUUGUGUGUGUUUUCCUUGACAUGAGUAACCAAGAGUCGGCUCCUUCAGGCUGAUAGAAAAUCCUGCUUCCUGGAAAUGAGCAAAUAGAAGAGAUAUCUGCAUUUCCAUGGUUGUUGCAGCUCUGUUCACAACAUCCAAGAUUAGGAAGCAACCCAAGUGUCCAUGAACAGAUGAAUGGACAAAGAAAAUGUGGUACUUACAAUAGAGUGCCAUUCAGCUAUAAAAAAAGAAUGAGAUUAUGGCCAGGCAUGGUGGCUCACACCUGUAAUCCCAGCACUUUGGGAGGCAGAGGCGGGUGGAUCACGAGGUCAAGAGAUCGAGACCAUCCUGGAAAACAUGGUGAAACCCUGUCUCUACUAAAAAUGCAAAAAAAUUAGUUGGGCAUGGUGGCGCAUGUCUGUAAUCCCAGCUACUCGGGAGGCUGAGACAGGGGAACUGCUUGGAACUCAGGAGAUGGAGGUUGAGCUGGGACUGCACCAUUGUACUCUAGCCUGGGCAACAAGAAUAAAACUCCAUCUCAAAAAAAAAAAAAAAAAAAAAAAAAGAGAUUGUGUCAUUUGCAACAACAUGGAUGGUCAUUAAGUGAAAUAAGUCAGGCACAGAAAGACAAACAUCGCAUGUUCUCACUCAUUUGUGGGACCUAAAAAUACACACAAUUGAAUCAUGGAAAUAAAGAGUAGAAGGAUGGUUACCAGAAGAUGGGUAGGGUAGCAGGGUGGUAUGGGGGAGGUGGGGAUGGUUAAUGGGUACAAAAAAACAGGAAGAAUGACUAAGACCUACUAUUCGAUAGCACAACAGGGUGACUACAGUCAAUAAUAAUUUAAUUGUAGAUUUUAAAAUAACCAGAAGAGUAUAAUUGGAUUGUUUGUAACACAAAGGAUGCUUGAGGGGAUGGACACCCCAUUUUCCCUGAUGUAAUUAUUAUACAUUGUAUGCC